rnacentral:lncRNA from 1 species
GCCAGAAAGACUCCAUUAGGCAGUAGUGAAAAAAAUAUGUAGGAUAUUUGGAUAAAAGUAGAUAUGCGUAGGGUAGGACAAGACUAUGGAAUGUCUUAAAAUCAAGUUAAGGAAUUUGAAAGUUGUAGCAAUCAAUAAAAUCAGUGUAAAAUAUUGGACUGGUGUAACUUGUGGCCUGUUCUCUUUACAUGAAUAGUGCUGACCAACCCCUUCACUCAUUCCUCAUAGGUACUGUGGGCCCUACUAAUGACUCUCUCACUUGGCUUACAUAAGCUGCUCUCUAGCUUUUAGUAAAACAUUACUAUUCUUCAUGGUAAAGACAUCUGGUAAUCGUCUCCAUCAGAGA